rnacentral:rRNA from 1 species
UACGUAGGCAGCAAGCGUUGUUCGGAAUUACUGGGCGUAAAGAGUGUGUAGGCGGUGUUGUAAGUUUGGCGUGAAAUCUCCCGGCUUAACUGGGAGGGUGCGCCGAAGACUGCGGUGCUUGAGGAUCGGAGAGGAAAGUGGAAUUUCUGGUGUAGCGGUGAAAUGCGUAGAUAUCAGAAGGAACACCUGUGGUGUAGACAGCUUUCUGGACGAUACCUGACGCUGAGGCACGAAAGCGUGGGUAGCAAACAGG